UGACAUGAUGAUCUCUCUUUUGGAAUCUCGUUCGGCUGAAUAUUCCUGUUGAGAAGUGGAAUCUGAGUAUC